rnacentral:rRNA from 1 species
UACGGGGGGAGCAAGCGUUGUUCGGAUUUACUGGGCGUAAAGGGCGCGUAGGCGGUCAGCACAAGUCAGUUGUGAAAUCUCCGGGGCUUAACUCGGAAAGGUCAACUGAUACUGUGCGACUAGAGUGCGGAAGGGGCAACUGGAAUUCUCGGUGUAGCGGUGAAAUGCGUAGAUAUCGAGAGGAACACCUGCGGCGAAGGCGGGUCUCUGGGCAGUAACUGACGCUGAGGAGCGAAAGCGUGGGGAGCGAACAGG